rnacentral:rRNA from 1 species
AGUGAACGCUGGCGGCGUGCCUAAUACAUGCAAGUCGAACGGAGUGGCGCACGGGUGAGUAAUGUACAGCUAAUCUGCCCUAAACUAGAGGACAACAGUUGGAAACGACUGCUAAUAUUCUAUAGUGUAGGAUGGGACUGGAUUGUAUCAGCUAGUUGGUGAGGUAAUGGCUAACCAAGGCUAUGACGCAUAACUGGUCUGAGAGGAUGAUCAGUCACACUCGAACUGAGACACGGUCCAGACUCCUACGGGAGGCAGCAGUAGGGUAUAUUGCUCAAGGGGGGAAACCCAGAAGCAGCAACGCCGCGUGGAGGAUGACACUUUUCGGAGCGUAAACGCCUUUGGUUAGGGAAGCGGUACCUAACGAGAAAGCACCGGCUAACUCCGUGCCAGCCGCCGCGGUAAUAC